AACCAGAAAGGGUUGGGGGCCGCAGGAGAAGGCAGGAUAGGAAUGGGUGGGGGAAGGGAAGAUGACGCCAGUGGACGAUCACCGUGAGAAAAUCAGUACUUUAGUUUUUAAAAAUUAGUUUGUGAUAUAUAAUUAACCUAAUAUAAAAUUCACUGUUCAAAAUCGUACGAAUGGGCCGGGAGCGACCUGAAAUCCCAGCAGUUUGGGAGUCUGAGUCAGGCGGAUCACUUAAGCUCAAGAGUUGGAGGCCAGCCUGGCCAACGUGGUGAAACCCCGCCUUUUUUUUUUGAGACGGAGUUUCCCUCUUGUUACUCAGGCUGGAGUGCAAUGGCGCGAUCUCGGCUCACCGCAGCCUCCGCCUCCCGGGUUCAGGCAAUUCUCCUGCCUCAGCCUCCUGAGUAGCUGGGCUUACAGGCACGUGCCACCAUGCCCAGCCAAUUGUUUGUAUUUUAGUAGAGACGGGGUUUCACCAUGUUGACCAGGAUGGUCUCAAUCUCUUGAUAUCGUGUUCCACCCGCCUCGGCCUCCCAAAGUGCUGGGAUUAAAGGCGUGAGCCACCGCGCCGGGCCAAACCUCGCAUUUACUAAAAUAAAAAAGUAGCCGGGCAUGGUGGCGGGCGCGUGUACUGAUACUCAGGAGGCUGAGGCACGAGAAUCGCUUCAACCCGCGAGGGGGAGGUUGCAGUGAGCCGAGAUGGCGUCACCGCACUCCAGCCUGGGUAACAAAGCGAGACUCGGUCUCAAUAAAAACCAGACAGAAAAUUGUACAAUUCAGGGGCAUUUAGUAGUAUGUCACAAGGUUGUACAAUCAUUACAACUAUCUGAGCCAUUACAUUUUCAUCAUCCCGUGCAAAAACAAAAACAAAAACAAAAAAACCCUCUACCCAUUAGCAGUCACUCCUCAUUCCAUCCUCCCUCUGGCCCCAGGCAACCAGACAGGGCCCCCUGACUCUAAUCUAGAGGUGAUACUUCCUCCAGGUGCCUCUCUUCUGUGAAAUCCACAGGGAUAAAGACAGGAACAAGGAGUACCACGGUGUUAGGAUUAGCGGCACCAGGAACACCUGCUCUUUCCACACAGGAUGUGAAAGUAGAGUCCUGGAAGCAUAAUGCCUUUGUUGGGCUCUCCCAAGCUGUGACCACCAAAGGAAAGUACUGGAUCUGCCAUCCCAGACCCCAUUCUGUCACAGACUACAGCAACCUUCUCGUCCUACCAGUAGUAAACUCUACCAGUACUACAGCGGUGCAGAUAACUGUGGAAUGUGCUGGGAGUGUAGCAUCCUGCGAUAAAGAGAGAUGGACCAGAACAGCCUCUCGUCUCUCCUAGAAAUAGAAUGUCCUUCAUGUUUUUGUUUGUUUUGAGACACAGUUUCGCUCUUAUUGCCCAGGCUAGGGUGCAAUGGUGCAGUCUCGGCUCACUGAAACUCUGCCUCCCAGGUUCAAGCGAUUCUCCUGUCUCAGCCUCCUGAGUAACUGGGAUUACAGGCAGGUGCC